CAUUGGCAAUUUCGUGCUUCAAAAGAAGAACAAAGAAACAGUGAGAAUCUGAUUGUAUGUAUUUUGCAAGGAUUUUGAGUAUUUUCCAAUGAAAGUGACUCUUCUUUUUUACACUAAUAUUUGUUCUGUGUAGUGAUCCUGUACAGAUCAGUAGAUACAGAAAUCAAGAGUGAGUUUGAGCUUUGUAAUUUGCUAAUGCAUGGAACGAUAAUCAACUUGUGCUCAUUCAGGUACUUUCUUAAUCUUUCUAUUUAUGCUUUUUCUUCCUUUAAUUAUUUUUUUUCUUCUGGCGAUGUAUUGAAUUUAUGGCCAGCCUGUUCACACAUUGUUUACAUUCAAUUUCACAUCUUGUAUUUCUCUUAUUCACUCUAGAAAUUAAAUUUAUCAACUCCCAACUACAAUUGCAUAUGUUUGAUCAAAUUGUAAAUGCCAUGAACUCAUCAAAAGUUGGCAUCUAUAACUUAUACAACAACUGAUAUACACAGAAAUGGGCGCGGCAAAUGAGAUAAAAAAGCUUCAAGUCGCCACUCAGUGCCCAACAAAAGUACAUAAAUGCAGCAGCUCUCUCUCCCUUUUCUGAGUU
rnacentral:lncRNA from 1 species